CACGUUUCAUCUUCCUAUAAAGUUAGUUUUUCAGAGAGCGGAUCAAAAAAAUGAAAGUCUUUCUCAUUUUUUCUCAUUUUACUAGAUGCUGACAAAAGAAAAAAAGCAUUUUUACUAUUUACUGUCAACACAUCUUCUCAUGUGUGCUCUUUUCCCGGAGUCAGUAGCUUGAGCCCAACGUGGCCGAUUGGGUGUAGGAGUUCCACUCAGCCACAAAAAAUGUGGCCAGGGAGGUUUCACUGUGGACAGCAGGCUUUCUAAGAGAAAGGCAAUUUAUGGUGGGUUUUCAGACUUGCAGUUUUCCUUUCUCUGUAGUUGACAGGAACUUUCUUUUUAUACCUUCCUAUUUUGUUACAACAUCUUAAGUAAAGAAAUUCUCUUGUCUAGUCAAGGGCAGGGAGGGAGUUCUGCACUGUUGCAGGGGACGGAGGAGGGGGUUGGCCACUAGCAUUAGGUAAAACUGCUGAAUUGAGCCCAGCAUGUGGAAUCAGUAUUUUUGAUUCAGGGAUUCAAGCUCUUUGUCCUUUUUUCCUUCCUCCUAGACUGAUUCAUAGAAUGUUUCCUCCCCCAGGAAGAAGGUCUUUGUAAAGGCGACUUUGUUCUCACUUGUUUGAUGCAUCAAACUUCCAUUGAGUGCUGUGGGCAAGGCCCUAUAUGUGGCAGUGGGACUAUAUGGAUGAAUUUUAAAUAGUUUUGCCUUAAAGAAAGUCUUUGAUGAUUGAGACUGAACUUAUGAACCAUAUUGUUUCCUUCGGCCCUUUCAGUUAUUGAGCUUUUUAUGGUAUGAAAAGAUUCAUUUCUACCUUAGGAUCAGAAUGAAAACAAGAAACCAAUCUGUAUUUUAAAACGAAGAGAAAUUAUUUUGGGAACUUGGUACAAAAGUGUUGGAAAGGGCCAGAAGACUAAAAGAGAACAGGUAGGGUUUUACCUAGAGCUCAGUAACUAGAGAAAGCUACUAUUGCCUCUCAGUCUGCAGGAGUAAAGUCCUGUUUCCCGGGGCCCAUUUGUGCAGCAG
rnacentral:lncRNA from 1 species